GACGAACGCUGGCGGCGUGCUUAACACAUGCAAGUCGAACGGAAAGGCCCUGCUUUCGUGGUGCUCUCGAGUGGCGAACGGGUGUGUAACACGUGAGUAACCUCCCCUUGACUUUGGGAUAACUUCAGGAAACUGGGGCUAAUACCGGAUAGGAGCUCCUGCUGCAUGGUGGUGGUUGGAUAGUUUCGGCGGUUGGGGAUGGACUCGCGGAUUAUCAGCUUGUUGGGGGGGUAGUGGAUUACCAAGGCUUUGACGGGUCGCCGGCCUGAGAGGGUGACCGGCCACAUGGGGAAUGUGAGACGGCCCAGACUACGACGGGCGGCAGCAGGGGGGAAUAUUGCACAAUGGGAGGAAGCCUGAUGCAGCAACGCCGCGUGCGGGAUGACGGCCGUCGGGUUGUAAACCGCCUGCGACUGUGACGAAGCGUGAGUGACGGUAAUGGGAAAAGAAGCACCGGCUAACUACGUG
rnacentral:rRNA from 1 species